CUGAGUUUUACAACUCCCAAACCCAUUGUGAACUUACCAUUGUUGCUUCGGCGGGAUCGCCCCGGUGCCUCUGCUGCCCGGAACCAGGCGCCCGCCGGAGGCUCCAAACUCUUGUUUUGAACUUGUGGCUUAUCUGAGUGGCGCAAGCAAAUAAUAAAUCA
rnacentral:misc_RNA from 1 species